ACGGAAGGCAGCAGUGGGGAAUAUUGCACAAUGGGGGAAACUCUGAUGCAGCGAUGCCGCGUGGAGGAAGAAGGUUUUCGGAUUGUAAACUCCUGUCUUAAAGGACGAUAAUGACGGUACUUUAGGAGGAAGCUCCGGCUAACUACGUGCCAGCAGCCGCGGUAAUACGUAGGGAGCGAGCGUUGUCCGGAAUUACUGGGUGUAAAGGGAGCGUAGGCGGGACUGCAAGUCAGAUGUGAAAUGCCGGGGCUUAACCCCGGAGCUGCAUUUGAAACUGUGGUUCUUGAGUGAAGUAGAGGCAAGCGGAAUUCCUGGUGUAGCGGUGAAAUGCGUAGAUAUCAGGAGGAACACCGGUGGCGAAGGCGGCUUGCUGGGCUUUUACUGACGCUGAGGCUCGAAAGCGUGGGUAGCAAACAGGAUUAGAUACCCUGGUA
rnacentral:rRNA from 1 species